AGGUUGCCACUGUAAACACUGCACUGAUCGAAAUGAUUUUGCGGUGUGGAUAUUUGACUGUCACCCGGAGCUAGGGAUGGUGAAAACACUAGAUUGCCUAGAAAUUUGGAUAAGUAAGAACCGUAAAUAGGAUGGGGGAUUCAAACCAUUGGUUACAAACAUAGGUUGUUUACAAAUUGGAAAUUAGUACUAAUCGUUAACUGAUCACCCCAUCAUUGGUGCCUCCUCUUCCUUCCUCCUCCCACUUCUCCACAGAUUCCCACCCCAGCAGUCCUGCAAAAUCUAUCCAGGCCUCACGGGAUCUUGUCCGCCCCCAUCCAACUAGGUUGUUUUAACCAGGAAAGAUGGAGAGGAGGAGUCGAGGCCAUCGGCGCUGGACCUCCUGGCGGCAUCACUGUCGGGCCAGAGGCCUCCGUCCGAGCUGGAGGAGAACACUGUCGCGGAGGGGAAAACCCUAGCUCGGUAGGUGGCUGUGAGGAUUGAGGUCGACGAUGCUGGCCGCCGCAGGUCAUCAGCUCCUCCUUUUCUCUUUCACACUGCCCCACCACCAUCCCCCUCUCCUUCCUUCUUGCUCGUCUUCAAGCCUGAGUACGAAGGCUCGCCAUGGACAAUCAAGACCGCGGAGUGGCGCAGAGAUAAGUGACACGAUGAAUCUGAUGUUACAUACGUGUGGGAGAAAACGAUGUGAUCCCUAAUCUUAUUCCCUUGUUUCGCAUUUGAUGUCCUACGGCUCUACUCCUUGCCUAGGCAAAUGCUUUGUGAGGAUGCUUAAUUGGUCUGACAACCUUAUCUUGCAGAAGGUAUAGCUAGAGGAACACCUAGCGGCAAGUACUUGAGGUUGUGUGUCUCCUAGGUUGCCUGAUUCGCUAUGCGUUUUGAGCGUAGUUGAUCAAACUGAGAGCUCUAAGUAAAGCAGACCUUACAAUGGAGAAGAUAUGUAGGCUAAAUUGCUGGCACGAUAUUGGGCAUAGCUGGUGCAGCAUAGGUUAAUUAUCUUCUAUUCAAACCAUAUUUACUUGCAUCGAGGAUGGAUGCACUUUUUCCCACUUUUUUUUAACAGGCUUGUUUUUUCAGUAUGAAAUCCCUUUGAGCUGAGGCAUUUAAAAAGUAGACAUUGUUGCAAUGUUAUGUGAUGGUGAUCUCUGGUCCUUCUACAACCUUGAGAAAGGCUGAGUAAUGAGACAUGAGAAAUUUAUAACCUCUUUAUUCUUCUCAGGCAUGCUUCGCUAAAUUUGUUCAUGUAUUUUCUGUUUGCAACCUGAAUGCUAGAAUUUGGAAAAUUAACAUGGGUAUUGGAAAAUGGAUCUUUUCUGUACACUUUUGUUCCAAACAGUGUAGAUAUAGAGUUAUAGUUAUUUAUUUUAGAUGCUAUAUAUGAAUAUUUUCAUUUCAUCUAUAUAGAAACAUACUCUUUUAAAUGUUGUCCUCUAUACUUUCUGUCUAGCCUUUUCGUGUAUUUGAUUGAAUUAUUAUCACCUAUAUUUGUUUAUUUUUGUGAUGGUUGAAUGACAGAAGGUUUGUCGUUAUGUUGAUGAAAGUUACAUUAAACAUGAUGGACAUUAACCACAUGGCAUUGCAUAUUUGCAUGUGUGAUGAACUUUCCCUCUCAAUCAGUGGGACAAGACCAGACAGUUUUUCGGCGAGAUCGACGAUGAAAUUCAGAUUCAUUACGACAACGGUGCAAGGAAGUUCUAGAUACACGUCAUAGGUGCCCUUGGCUGCCUGUGAGUGUUGGUGAUGUGUGAGGAGGGUGAGCUGCACACAUAAGGCUGCCUUGCGAAUCACAACUAGGUGACGCAAGCCUAAAAAAGAAGCUGAGUGACCUCUGUGACGAGGUGUGGUUGCGCCGGAAGGAUGCUCUCAAGUAUGGCUUCGUUGCUAACCACACCAAAUACAUAAGGCUGCCUUGCGAACCAUAACUGGGUGACGAAUGCCUUAAAAAGAAGCCAAAGCGACCUCGGCGACGAGGUUCAGUUGCACUGGAAGGAUGCCAUCAAGUAUGGCUUCGUUGCCAACCACCCAAAUAUGGGUAAGAAACUAACAGUGAAGAGAUUGUCGAUGAGCUCAACACAAUGAGUGGAGGAGCUGUAGACUGAGCCUUGGUUGCCAAGCUUAAGUACAAGAACGUCAUCAAGCUUCUUGUGUCUGCUUGAAGCAGCAGGAGCGGCUGCUCGUCUAUGAGCAGCUACAUUGGGGAAAGAGCUAGGUAUCAAGUCCUUGUAGUUCCACACUUUUGCUUGAAAGCCAAGACCAGCAGUGUUCUUUUCACAAGUACUUGUUAUCUCACCAGGGUGUCCACUUUCUAUUGCAAAUUUUGAUAUGGUUGGUGACGUGGAACACUGGCGUUCUCGGCCUGGUGACGCUGUCAGGCUUGAAGUGCACUUGGCCGGUGAGGAGGCGCCCCAGCCUCUAUAUAUGUUGCUCUACAUGUUGUUAGUCCUAUUAGACAUUCAUGUACAUGCUCGAACCUACUGCGAAGAUGGUCGAUUAUCUGUUUCAGUAGGAUGGUCGACUAGGAUGUUGACGACCACGACAUGUUGCUAUUUCAUAUUUUUUGUCCUGUUAUAUAUCUUUAGAUGUGGUUGUGCUUUAUAGGUGUCAGCUUUUGUAAAUAAUGAACUAUAAUUUACUGAAUUCAAAAGAAUCUUUCUACCAUAAGAGACAA